rnacentral:rRNA from 1 species
UACGUAGGUGACCAGCGUUGUCCGGAUUUACUGGGCGUAAAGAGCGCGCAGGCGGUCGUUCAAGUCGCGUGUGAAAGCCCCCGGCUCAACUGGGGAGGGUCACGCGAUACUGAUCGACUCGAAGGCAGGAGAGGGUAGUGGAAUUCCCGGUGUAGUGGUGAAAUGCGUAGAUAUCGGGAGGAACACCAGUGGCGAAGACGACUACCUGGCCUGUUUCUUGACGCUGAGGCGCGAAAGCUAGGGGAGCAAACGGG